rnacentral:rRNA from 1 species
GAUUCCGCCUGAGGAUGGGUCCACAUCCUAUUAGCUUGUUGGUGGGGUAACGGCCUACCAAGGCUACGAUGGGUACCGGGUGUGAGAGCAUGGCCCGGCUCACUGGGACUGAGACACUGCCCAGACACCUACGGGUGGCUGCAGUCGAGAAUCUUCGGCAAUGGGCGAAAGCCUGACCGAGCGACGCCGCGUGCGGGAUGAAGGCCUUCGGGUUGUAAACCGCUGUCAGAGGGGAUGAAAUGCCGGGGGGCUAUCCCUCCGGUUUGACAAAGCCUCAGAGGAAGGACGGGCUAAGUUCGUG